GGAUUUCACCUGGUUACCUAACAGACAGUUAAUACCCUCCUUCGAUGCAAUGAGUCUAUAUGUCACCUAUCAAGAUAUAACCUAUCUGGUGGGAACACGGUUCAUACCUAUUAGAUCACGACCCGUUCCUCUACAGUAUAGGUUAGUCAAGAUAAGAUGCAUACAAGGUAACUAAAAAGAGAAUAAAAAAUAGAUAUUUAAUAACGGAUCUUGUGUUUUAUAAAAAGAAGAAGUAUAAAAAUAAAUAAAAUAAUAAAAAUACUGCUUAUUACACUUCAAAAAUUUUUUGAGAAUUGAAAAAUUUAACCGGUCGUUAAAUUUUUGCUCGCUGAUAUCUUGGGAUUAAGAAGACUUCUGGGCAGCAGCAAAAUGAAUUUGGGUGUUUGGAUGGUUAGGCUAGAUGAAGUAUGAAAAUGGUUUUAGGUGGAAAAAAAAAGAUCGCCGGUUUGUGGCCUGAAAAAAUCCCCCUUUCAAUCCUCUGCGGUCUUUUUUUUU
rnacentral:lncRNA from 1 species